rnacentral:misc_RNA from 1 species
CGGAGCUAAAUAGUGAUGCGAAACAAGGUGCAUAAAGCAGGUCUUAAUUCGAACUGAAGUCUUAAGGUCUGUUUUAUAAAGUUAGAAUUGCUAGUAAUUGCGCAUUAAAAUGAUAUGGCAAAUAUGUCUUUUGGCCUUCUAUACACUGCUUGUCACACUGUCUGAGCUGAGAAUGUCUAAAACCAUUGUUCUAAUCUAUAAGAGAGUAAGGUAUUUGAGGUAUGUUUAGUGUGGGAUUGAAGGCCCAGCAAGGCAGCUGUAUUAUAAAAUAUGGUUGAAUUGUCUUCCUUUUAAAAAUAAAGAUAAAUUAAGAUGAAUUUCAUUAAUUCUUCUCUCUAUUUUUAUUUUGAUGAAAAUUUUUUUUAAGUCAAAGUAAAUUUUUAGUUUAAACUUUAGAAAAAAUAAAUCUUUGUUAAGUAUUUAGUGCUAUAUAGUUUAAUAUUGAAUUAAGCGUUGGUAAUAGUAAAUCAUAAUUUUAAAUUUUGAAGUGAAAGGCUUUUAUAUUGCUAGAUGUGCAUUUAAAUCUAAUAUAACGGCAAUUGGUCAUUUUAAAAUUGAGAUUAUAUUCUAAAUAUUGCUUAACAUUUACCAAAUAUUUUAUUGUUCUGAUUAAUUGGCUUAAAGUAAUACCGAAGUGAUUAUAAUGAUGGAACACAU